AUACGGAGGGGGCUAGCGUUGUUCGGAAUUACUGGGCGUAAAGCGCACGUAGGCGGUUUAUCAAGUUAGGCGUGAAAGCCCUGGGCUCAACCCAGGAACUGCGUUUAAUACUGAUAAGCUAGAGACCGGGAGAGGGUGGCGGAAUUCCCAGUGUAGAGGUGAAAUUCGUAGAUAUUGGGAAGAACACCGGUUGCGAAGGCGGCCACCUGGACCGGAACUGACGCUGAGGUGCGAAAGCGUGGGGAGCAAACAGGAUUAGAAACCCGAGUAGUCC
rnacentral:rRNA from 1 species